rnacentral:miRNA from 1 species
GCGCCCACCCCCCGCAGGUACCAUUUCAGGGCAUCUGGGCUUGACUCAUCUGCUCAAUGAGAGCUUGAAGGCCUACUAUGUGCCAGGCCCUGGCCAGGAGAGCA